rnacentral:rRNA from 1 species
GAUGAACGCUGGCGGCGUGCCUAACACAUGCAAGUCGAGCGAUCUUCUUCGGAAGAGAGCGGCGGACGGGUGAGUAACGCGUGGGUAACCUGCCUCAUACACAUGGAUAACAUACCGAAAGGUAUGCUAAUACAAGAUGAUAUAAGAGAUUCGCAUGGAUUUCUUAUCAAAGCUCCGGCGGUAUGAGAUGGACCCGCGUCUGAUUAGCUAGUUGGUAAGGUAACGGCUUACCAAGGCAACGAUCAGUAGCCGACCUGAGAGGGUGAUCGGCCACAUUGGAACUGAGACACGAUCCAAACUCCUACGGGAGGCAGCAGUGGGGAAUAUUGCACAAUGGGCGAAAGCCUGAUGCAGCAACGCCGCGUGAGCGAUGAAGGCCUUCGGGUCGUAAAGCUCUGUCCUCAAGGAAGAUAAUGACGGUACUUGAGGAGGAAGCCCCGGCUAACUACGUGCCAGCCGCCGCGGUAA